rnacentral:rRNA from 1 species
CCUACGGGGGACAGCAGUGAGGAAUAUUGGUCAAUGGGCGCGAGCCUGAACCAGCCAAGUAGCGUGAAGGAUGACUGCCCUACGGGUUGUAAACUUCUUUUAUAAAGGAAUAAAGUGAGGCACGUGUGCCUUUUUGUAGGUACUUUAUGAAUAAGGAUCGGCUAACUCCGUGCCAUCAGCCGCGGUAAUACGGAGGAGCCGAGCGUUAUCCGGAUUUAUUGGGUUUAAAGGGAGCGUAGAUGGGUGGUUAAGUCAGUUGUGAAUGUUUGCGGCUCAACCGUAAAAGUGCAAUUGAUACUGGCAGCCUUGAGUACAGUUGAGGUAGGCGGAAUUCGUGGUGUAGCGGUGAAAUGCUUAGAUAGCACGAAGAACUCCGAUUGCGAAGGCAGCCUACUAAACUGCCACUGACAUUGAUGCUCGAAAGUGUGGGUAUCAAACAGGAUUAGAUACCCGAGUAGUC